rnacentral:rRNA from 1 species
AUGAUGAUUAAAGUGCGCCUUCCGAAUAAUCAUCUUUCCAUGGGAUGGUUGGAAUACUAUGACUUAAAUUACAAUGUUGCUGUUAUCAGCGUCGCGGCCUUCCAUGUUUUUCGCGCAGCAUUUCUAGAUCAUCAGCGGCAAUUUGAGUCUCAUAGUGAAGUAGUUGCUGUUGGGCGUUGCUUCGACUCAGGCAAAUUAAUGGUCACAACUGGGAUGUUGACUGACAAUGGGAAGAGAAUUUACCGCGAGGAGCUUGCGAUCUCCACAUGUGAAAUUACUAUGACUGGAGUUGGAGGGCCCCUUUUUUAUUUUAAUGGUGACUUUGUCGGGAUGAACUUUUAUUCUAAGGAAGAGACUCCAUUCCUACCAAGGAAUAAAAUUCUUGAACUUUUGAUGCAUUUUAGGAGAACACCCCCGUGCUGGAAAAAUGGAAAUGAUGGAAAGUUCAAUCUAGAUUGCACUUGGGACACAAGUAAGAAAAGAGGUAGUAAAACUGAAAGAGGCGCAAGCAAGGCACGAGUAUCUCCUGAAUCUCACAAGUCCGAUUUAGAAGGCAGCUCAAGGCAGGAGAUGGAAAAUAAAAAGCACAAACCUUCCAUAUGUACUAUAUGUGACCCAGAACUUAAUUCAGGACUCGAGGAUACAUUACUAGAGAGUCUGCCUUCUAUUCGUCGGUGGCCGUAUGACUGGGGUCUCGUAUCCCUGGAUGCUAGAAGAGAUAUGUUCAGGUCACGUGGUUACCCCUUACCAGUUCUGGAGGACGGAGAAGCGAGGCUUUUUGCUUGCACAGGUGUAUUCAUAGACUGCAAUGGGUUCACCACAAGAGUUCUGACCUCGGGGAAUUUGAUUAGAAGUAAUGACGAUGAAAGCAAGGUUGCUGAUAACUUAAAGAUUGAAGUGCACCUUCCAGAUAAACGACAUGUCCCAGGGAUGUUGCAACAUUACGAUCUGCAUUAUAAUGUUGCCGUCAUCAUCAUAAAUAAAUUUCGCUGUACUCGGACAGCAAUUAUUGACAAUAAGGUGAAAAUUGGCACUCAUUCGGAGGUACUAGCCAUAGGGCGUGUCUAUGAAUCAGGAAAAUUAAUGGCUGCAAGUGGGGUAGUGAUCAACAAAGAAAGUGAACUCGACUGUAAAGAUCUUAGGAUCUCCACUUGUCAAAUCACAAAGGCUGGGAUUGGAGGCCCUCUUAUAGAUUCUAAUGCAAACUUUAUUGGGAUGAACUUCCAUGGCUUGGAAGAAACUCCCUACACACCACGGGAUACAAUUCUGAAACUCUUGGAGAAUUUUGAUGCAGAAGGAUGGCAUGUGCCUAAGCCAUAUUGGUGCUAUCCUUCGUGGCAUGAACGAAAGGAGGGAACAGAUUUACUGGAAUUUCUUGAUCAAGAAUUCCGCUAUGACUAA